UAGGCACUCACUGGUUUGGACAGUGAAUGAGUGUUAAACCCUUUGCUCUUAAAAUCCGCUUCUUUAAAUCUCACAUCUCCAACCUCAACAGUCAACUCUCACAAACCAAAGACUAAUAAUCCUACCCCAAUCUCAAAAUCAAAACCCAUGUACCAGAUCGGAAAGGAAAUCCCUCUUUUGUAACCCUGGAUUUAACCAAAAUCAAACCAUCUCAUUCAGCUCGUUCAUUUUCUGUAUGAUAAGGAGAUUAAUAUCCUGCAUAUCCAUACAACUUCACCGAAUCAAGCAUGAUUCCGAAACCUAAUCCGAAACUCAUCUUUGAAUCAAAACCCAUCUCUCUUUUUCUUUGAAUCAAAACCCAUCUCAGAAUCAGAAUUUUAUAUCCCUAAUUUUGUAACCCUAGAUUCGAAUUAAUUUUUCUCCUGAAUCAAAACCCUCGUCUCGUAUUCGACAGAGAUGAGAGUACGAGAAGAAGAUUUCACCAGGUAUAAACCCUAAUAUUUUUAUCUAUCAUUGCUUGAUUUUGCGUCUUUUCUUAUGUAGUAUUUUGUAAAGAUUUUGCAAUUUUUCUUUCCGUUUACUAUUUGGAGUUUUAAAGCAUGGAUUUCUUUUGAUUUCAGUUUUUUGGUGUUUUAACUGUUUGUUUGUGGUAUUGAUUUGAUGGUUUUAUCUUGGCACUUUCAUCUCUUUGAAACUGUUUCAAUCGAUGAGCCUGCACCUGGUCUCAAGGCAAUUUUUAACUUUGUUGUUCCCGAUCAAAGGUUUGGCAAGGGUAUCCUGGAAACGCGGGUGUUUCCUGGAGGGAAUCACACCGCUGAAUCAGGUGGUUGGGACUAUGGCAGGAGUAGGUAUUGUAAGUAAACUAAUGCAACAAAUUAUAUUGCUGAGGUGGUGAUGGCUGUAGUUGUGGCCAUUUCUCUAAGGCAUUCAGUGGAUUCUAAUUUCAGAAGUGGUCGUUGGAUAUCCAAUUUUCACACUGCUACUGGGUUCAAGACUGAAUUCUGGAGAUAGAGUGGGCCGUGGGUGUGGCUUCGAACUCUUCAACCUCACCAGAAUAUUGCUGGCAAAUACCGGAAGAUUUGGAUCAUGUGCCUGUGUAUGGAGCUAAAUCAGUAGAGCCUGAUCUAGCCGGACAAAUGGCAGCAGCACUUGGAGCCGCAUCAAUCCUCUUUACAAAUGACAACGCCUACUCGGCGAAGAUAGUUGAUGAUGCGGAAGUACUUUCCAAAUUUGCUUCAGCACCUGGCAACCACCAUCCUUACAGUUUCGUCAGAGCUUUGCUCGUAUUGAUUUUUUUCAGAGGUAUGGAAUAACCGAGUCCACUGCUGUAAGAACGUGUGGUUUGAAUAUUAAAUAUUUACGAAACUAUACUUCAGUAGAACUGUUGGCUCCAAAUAUGCAAGCUAAAGUUGUGCAUUGGGACACUGCUUCAUGUUGUUCCCAGGCAAAAGUGGUGAACUAUGGAUUCAUGGACUUGGCAUCAUGAAAGAACAUUUCAAGGAUACUGAAUGACGCCGAUGCAACAAAGUCCACAGUGCUGCACACAGGAGACAUUGCCUACAUCGAUCAAGAUGGUUACUCGUAUAUAUUGGAUCGCUUGAAAGACGCAAUUAAAUACAAGGGAUUUUAGUCAUACCCGAUGUUGCAGUAAUGGUGGUAUCCCAUUCUCAGUCGAACAGUGCAUGAUAAUCCACGGACAUGGCACGAACAACUGCCCAUAGCACUAUGGGCAUAUCGAGCGACAUCUAGAAGCUCCACAGGCGUCUCCCCCUAUUCACUUGUCUAUGGCGCGGAUGCAGUUCUCUCAGCGGAGAUUAAAAUUCCAUCGGCCAGAAUUGCAGCAGCAAGUGGAGUUCAAUGGGAUGAAGCCGCAACAUCAAGUGCCAGAAUAGCAGAGCUAGAUACUCUGGACUCCAAGAGAACUAAGGCGAAAGAACAUACUCAGGUAUACAGAAAUGAGUUUCUAGGGCAUACGAUAAGGCCGUAAAACCUCGGGUUUUUCAAAUAGGAGAUCUGGUAUUGAAGACUGCUAAUCACAUUCAACAAGACAUGUCUGCACGAAAUUCUCUCCAAAAUGGGAAGGACCUUAUGUGGUUACCAAAGCGUAUAACAUUGGGUACUACAAGAUUGUCAAAGAAGAUGGAGACAAAUUGGAAGCGGUCAUCAAUGGAAAAUGAAUCAAGGCGUACUACGCGUGACCAUCACUCCAUCUCUCGCUGUUUCACGACACAGCCAGCCAGGCAUUUUCCGUUUCCCUCAUUUUUCAGUUAUCAAAUUUCAUUUCGUCAGAACGUAUUAAUGAAAAUUCCAUUUGCUUUUCCCAAAACCAAUACAAUUCAAAAAAAAAA